rnacentral:tRNA from 1 species
GAUGACUUAGCUGGUAAAGAACCUGCCUGCAAUGCAGGAGAGCCAGGUUCGACCUGGCAAGAUCA